AGAUCGGAGUGUUGUGGGGCACCAUAUAAUCUACAUCCUCCGCCCAAAGAUAAGGAGCACAUACGGCUGUGGCUGAAAGCGCUAAACCUUAAGUGCCCACCGAAGCGCCCGUAUGUAUGUUCGUGUCAUUUUGUGGACAGAGAGCCGACAGAGGAGCACCCUUACCCCGAGAAAUAGCUCGGCUAUGAUGUUCCAGUAAAGAAGCCACGGCGGGAUUUGAAGAGGUAUGACAGUCAGCGUCAAGGAUGCAGAGGAGAAGGAUGACCACAUUCACAUGCCUCCAUGUUGUGAUGUGGAAACUCAGUGGGAGGAUCUGUCUGUCUCUGAACACCGCUAUGCUGCAUGAUCAUCACUCCAUCUGAAGCCCCUUUCAUCUGACAUCUUUACAAUUGUAAUAAACCUAAAAAUUUCUG